rnacentral:misc_RNA from 1 species
UAGCGUUUCCCAUCAGCAUCAAAGUGGCACAUAUUCUCAACUACAGCAAUGCAAGGCACCUUAAGCUUGGAAAACAUGCGAACUCCUUUGGCAACAUCGAUAAAUGCUAGCUUUUGGGGGGUGGUCACAAUAACAGCAGCAGUUAACGGGACAACCUGGCAUAAAGUAAGCUGUAUGUCACCAGUUCCAGGUGGCAUGUCAAUUACAAGGUAAUCAAGC